CCCUCCAGCCCAGCUCGGGCUCCAGCUCCAGCGCCGGCGCUUCAGCUGCGACCGCGAGCCCUCUCAAGCAAGGCCUACCCUCUGAAGAGGUCCAAGCAACGGAAGUACUACUACGAAGCUGCCUUUCUGGCCAUCCUUGAGAAAAACAGACAGAUGGCCAAGGAGAGGGGCCUAAUAAGCCCCAGUGAUUUUGCCCAGCUGCAAAAAUACAUGGAAUACUCCACCAAAAAGGUCAGUGAUGUCCUAAAGCUCUUCGAGGAUGGCGAGAUGGCUAAAUAUGUCCAAGGAGAUGCCAUUGGGUACGAGGGAUUCCAGCAAUUCCUGAAAAUCUAUCUGGAAGUGGAUAAUGUUCCCAGACACCUAAGCCUGGCACUGUUUCAAUCCUUUGAGACUGGUCACUGCUUAAAUGAGACAAAUGUGACAAAAGAUGUGGUGUGUCUCAAUGAUGUUUCCUGCUACUUUUCCCUUCUGGAGGGUGGUCGGCCAGAAGACAAGUUAGAAUUCACCUUCAAGCUGUACGACACGGACAGAAAUGGGAUCCUGGACAGCUCAGAAGUGGACAAAAUUAUCCUACAGAUGAUGCGAGUGGCUGAAUACCUGGAUUGGGAUGUGUCUGAGCUGAGGCCGAUUCUUCAGGAGAUGAUGAAAGAGAUUGACUAUGAUGGCAGUGGCUCUGUCUCUCAAGCUGAGUGGGUCCGGGCUGGGGCCACCACCGUGCCACUGCUAGUGCUGCUGGGUCUGGAGAUGACUCUGAAGGACGAUGGACAGCACAUGUGGAGGCCCAAGAGGUUCCCCAGACCAGUCUACUGCAAUCUGUGCGAGUCAAGCAUUGGUCUUGGCAAACAGGGACUGAGCUGUAACCGUGAGUAAUGGGAGCUGGGAGGUAGGGGAAGAGGGUCAGCCCAGCUAUCUGUGGGAGCUUGACGCUGUAAACUUAGAAAGACCUAGGUUUGAAUCCUGGGCUCUGCCACUGACUAGUUAUGUGACCUUGGGAAAGCCACAUCACUUCUUUAAGCCUUAGUUUCCUCAACUGAAAAUGAGGUAAUUGUGAGCAUUAAAAAAGCUGGUGCAAGAAAAGUGCUUCAGAUGGUGCAUGCACAUACUAUAAGAUGCAAUAAAAAAUAUCUAUUAUGAUUACUGUUGCUGUUAGACCUGGGCCUCCCAAGCAUUAUCCAGCUCAGUUCCUGCCUGGCACAUGGAUGGUGUGGGGCAGGCAUGCAGUAGCAGCUGAUCUUUUAGGAGGAAGAGUAAGGAAAAGGCGUGGGUUUUGGAGGUGGGCACUUCACCCCGAACUUUUAUUCUGCUACACCCUCAAGCAAGGGAUCACAUAUCUGAUCCUGCCUCACCCUCAGGUAAGAAGGAAAUAGGGGGAGAGGCUCAGCUAAGCCUCCCAACUUCUUCCUUCUCCCUCAGUCUGUAAGUACACUGUUCACGACCAGUGUG
rnacentral:sRNA from 1 species